CGGGCAUAGUGGCGCACGGGUGCGUAACGCGUGGGAAUCUGCCCUCAGGUUCGGAAUAACAGUUGGAAACGACUGCUAAUACCGGAUGAUGACGUUAAGUCCAAAGAUUUAUCGCCUGAGGAUGAGCCCGCGUAGGAUUAGCUAGUUGGUGUGGUAAGAGCGCACCAAGGCGACGAUCCUUAGCUGGUCUGAGAGGAUGAUCAGCCACACUGGGACUGAGACACGGNCCAGACUCCUACGGG
rnacentral:rRNA from 1 species